rnacentral:rRNA from 1 species
CAGCAGCCACGGUAAGACAGAGGAUGCAAGCGUUAUCCGGAAUGAUUGGGCGUAAAGGGCUCGCAGGCGGUUUCUUAAGUCUGAUGUGAAAGCCCCCGGCUCAACCGGGGAGGGUCAUUGGAAACUGGGAAACUUGAGUGCAGAAGAGGAGAGUGGAAUUCCACGUGUAGCGGUGAAAUGCGUAGAGAUGUGGAGGAACACCAGUGGCGAAGGCGACUCUCUGGUCUGUAACUGACGCUGAGGAGCGAAAGCGUGGGGAGCGAACAGGAUUAGAUACCCGCGUAGUCCCUGUCUCUUAUAC